UAACUGUCAGGCCACCUUAAGCCACAGUACGGAAGAAGCUGUGCUGCCUGUGAGCCCCGUCCAAGGACGUUAAAAGAAGAAGUCAGGCCCCAAAGCCACGGUUUGAGCAAACCGUGCUGCCUGUAGCUCCGUCGUGGGGACGUAAAACCUGGGAGGCUGCAAACUGUGGAAGCUGUACGCACGGUGUAGCAGACUAGCGGUUAGAGGAGACCCCUCCCAUGACACAACGCAGCAGCGGGGCCCGAGCACUGAGGAAAGCUGUACCUCCUUGCAAAGGACUAGAGGUUWSMGG
rnacentral:lncRNA from 1 species